GACGAACGCUGGCGGCGUGCCUAAUACAUGCAAGUAGAACGCUGAAGGAGGAGCUUGCUCUUCUGGAUGAGUUGCGAACGGGUGAGUAACGCGUAGGUAACCUGCCUGGUAGCGGGGGAUAACUAUUGGAAACGAUAGCUAAUACCGCAUAACAGUAGAUGUUGCAUGACAUUUGCUUAAAAGGUGCAAUUGCAUCACUGCCAGAUGGACCUGCGUUGUAUUAGCUAGUUGGUGGGGUAACGGCUCACCAAGGCGACGAUACAUAGCCGACUUGAGAGGGUGAUCGGCCACACUGGGACUGAGACACGGCCCAGACUCCUACGGGAGGCAGCAGUAGGGAAUCUUCGGCAAUGGACGGAAGUCUGACCGAGCAACGCCGCGUGAGUGAAGAAGGUUUUCGGAUCGUAAAGCUCUGUUGUAAGAGAAGAACGAGUGUGAGAGUGGAAAGUUCACACUGUGACGGUAUCUUACCAGAAAGGGACGGCUAACUACGUGCCAGCAGCCGCCGUAA
rnacentral:rRNA from 1 species